UAUGAGUGCUCCCGUAAUCUGUCAUUCAGACAUGUUCCCGUUUGGCCCACGUAUCACGUGGGGCGUGGGGCAAACGUGGGGCAAACGGGAAGAUGUCUGAAUGACAGAUUACGGGAGCACUCAU
rnacentral:pre_miRNA from 1 species